AUUGAACGCUGGCGGCAUGCUUUACACAUGCAAGUCGAACGGUAACAGGGUGCUUGCACCGCUGACGAGUGGCGAACGGGUGAGUAAUGCGUCGGAACGUGCCGAGUAGUGGGGGAUAACGCAGCGAAAGUUGUGCUAAUACCGCAUACGUACUGAGGUAGAAAGUGGGGGACCUUCGGGCCUCACGCUAUUCGAGCGGCCGACGUCUGAUUAGCUAGUAGGUGAGGUAAAGGCUCACCUAGGCGACGAUCAGUAGCGGGUCUGAGAGGAUGAUCCGCCACACUGGGACUGAGACACGGCCCAGACCCCUACGGGAGGCAGCAGUGGGGAAUUUUGGACAAUGGGCGAAAGCCUGAUCCAGCCAUGCCGCGUGUCUGAAGAAGGCCUUCGGGUUGUAAAGGACUUUUGUCAGGGAGGAAAUCCCUAGUGCUAAUAACACUGGGGGAUGACAGUACCUGAAGAAUAAGCACCGGCUAACUACGUGCCAGCCGCCGCAACAC
rnacentral:rRNA from 1 species